rnacentral:rRNA from 1 species
UGGGGAAUUUUGGACAAUUGGGCGAAAGCCUGAUCCAGCAAUGCCGCGUGUGUGAAGAAGGCCUUCGGGUUGUAAAGCACUUUUGUCCGGAAAGAAAUCCUUGGCUCUAAUACAGUCGGGGGAUGACGGUACCGGAAGAAUAAGCACCGGCUAACUACGUGCCAGCAGCCGCGGUAAUACGUAGGGUGCAAGCGUUAAUCGGAAUUACUGGGCGUAAAGCGUGCGCAGGCGGUUUGCUAAGACCGAUGUGAAAUCCCCGGGCUCAACCUGGGAACUGCAUUGGUGACCGGCAGGCUAGAGUAUGGCAGAGGGGGGUUAGAAUUCCACGUGUAGCAGUGAAAUGCGUAGAGAUGUGGAGGAAUACCGAUGGCGAAGGCAGCCCCCUGGGCCAAUACUGAGCUCAUGCACGAAAGCGUGGGGAGCAAACAGGAUUAGAUACCCUGGUAGUCCACGCCCU